GGAAGGAUCAUUAUUGAUAUUAAUUGUCUACCUUCAGUGCUGGCUUUUGCAUGUGCACGUUGGGGACAUAUAUCCAAUACCCUCUUGUGAACCAUUGGCCUUUGCUAGCUUCGGCUGGUAAAGGAUUUUACACACAUGAAUGUAAUGAAAUAAUCUUGUGCUGAGCACUAUAAAUAUACAACUUUCAACAACGGAUCUCUUGGCUCUCGCAUCGAUGAAGAACGCAGCGAAAUGCGAUAAGUAAUGUGAAUUGCAGAAUUCAGUGAAUCAUCGAAUCUUUGAACGCACCUUGCACCCUUUGGUAUUCCAAAGGGUAUGCCCGUUUGAGUGUCAUUAUACUCUCACACUCUCUAAUUAGUUAGAGAGCGGUGGAUUUGGAUGUUGCCUGGUACUUGCUGUCAGGCUCAUCUUAAAUGAAUUAGUGCGACUCUUAGUUAAACAUAGUACGGCGUGAUAAGUAACCCUCGCUGUUUUCUGUCUGAUUAGGAGCUCUGUGCUUCAAACCGUCUCAGGACAAUACUUGAUAACUUGACCUCAAAUCGAGUAGGAUUACCCGCUGAACUUAAGCAUAUCAAUAAGCGGAGGAAAAGAAACUAACAAGGAUUCCCCUAGUAACGGCGAGUGAAGAGGGAAAAGCUCAAAUUUUGAAUCUGGCGUCUUUGGCGUCCGAGUUGUAAUCUAGAGAAGUGUUUUCCGUGGCGGACCGUGCAUAAGUCUCCUGGAAUGGAGCGUCAUAGAGGGUAAGAAUCCCGUGUAUGGGCAUGGACUACCGUUACUCUGUGAUACACUCUCAACGAGUCGAGUUGUUUGGGAAUGCAGCUCUAAAUGGGUGGUAAAUGCCAUCUAAAGCUAAAUAUUGGCGAGAGACCGAUAGCGAACAAGUACCGUGAGGGAAAGA
rnacentral:rRNA from 1 species